UUGGGUAUAGCUCAGUGGUGGAGCACUUGCCUCGCAUGCAUGAAGCCCUGGGUUUUAAUCCCAUCAUUUAAA
rnacentral:tRNA from 1 species